GGGGUUGCAAAGAGUUGGACACGACUGAGCAAUUUGAAUUCCUUCCUUGGAUUUAGCAACCUCAUGCCAUUCUGCUGAUAACUUUUAUGAAAAAAAAAAAAAAUCUCUUCUAUAAGAAAUGCAGCAUUUACACAUAGUAGGCACCAAAUACAUGUCAGUAGAUCGUGACAACAAUGAACAUGAGGUUGAAAAAAAGUGAGCCUCCCAAAUCUCAGAGCCAAAUGAACAGAAUAAAUGUGAAUAAGGUUGAAAAUACUACUUAAAAAAAAAAAAACUAUUUCAUUUGCCAGAGGGCUAGAUCUUCCACUUUAUAUUUUGUUCAAGGAUUUAGCUGCCCUAAGAUAAUCAUAACUUGGAACUUGGACAUGUGACCUGGGAAGUUUGGGGUGGCUGUUUCAUUGGUUACAUCUCCUGAGAAAAAUUCUCAGGCUAGGAAAAAAUACUCUGACAGUGACAUGCAAAGGCUGGUACUUAUAACUACCAUCCUCAAUGUUUAGGGGAAAGGAGUUUUAAUGACGGGCCAAAGAACAGAUGUCAAAUCCCCAGCCAUCCUUCUGCCAUUUGCUGUUUGUUAUGAGUCACCCUGGAGCCCAUCCAUCCCGGCACCAAUUUUCAUGGGAAGCAUUGAUGUGUGACCAGAAGUGUGUGCUGAUGGAUGGAUUCACGUGAGGAUAGCCGGAAGACUGGGCCUCAGGCUUCCGUCGGCUCUGGCCUUCCUUGCUUCUUUGGUCAUUUUGCUCCCCUUCCCCCACAUCCCUCCUCCAUCCCCUUUGUUCUUCCCUCCAAGUUGGAUUUUCACAGUGAAUGUGAUCUCUCAUUUCAGUUCCUGCAACCCUGGCUCAUCAAAUACAGAAGGGCUGCAGAAACACCUCUGCUUAGGACACUUGUGUGUGUGGUCCAUGCCAGCCAUCGGUGGCAAGAGUUCUAAGAAGGGAGAGGGCCAUCUCCUGGACAGCAGUGGGAAGAGAGAUGUGCACGAAAAAGACGAGGGAGAUUCGACCAUCCGAGGGUCAAGACACAGAAAUUCGAACUGGCCCAGAGCGACCUUACUUGGCGCAGAGAAUCAUUUACCGAACGAGCGAGGGUGUGCGGAUACGGGAGCUAUUCUUAAAAGACAGAGUGAUGAACAGCUGAACCUGAAGUCGAAAAACGAUCCAAACUUUGAUUCCUUUCUGUGGACUUGUUCGAAUUGAAAGGCCGAUUGUAAGCAAAAAACAACUUGAAUUUGCUGAUGGAGGUCUUGUUAAAAGAGGCCAACAGGAGUACAAGACACAUGGCGAUUAAAUCGCUACGUGAUGCGACUAUUUUUCGGAGACGUUCUAAAGAACUUUCCUAUUACUUUUUUAAGGUGCGGAAUUUAGUUAAACAACUACUACAGCUAACAUUCUAAGAUAACGUGGUUACUUUCCUAAUAUAAAAAUUCAUAGGUUCCGAUUGUGUAACAUAAACAACAGAACAAAAUCAGGCUAGACAACUAAGUCCCCUUAUGUAAAUGCCUAACUCCAUCAUUCAAAUAUAGUUGGUUUGUAUAGUAAAUCUAAAUCACAGGGCCAAGCUUAGCUGCCCUUUCGUGAAGAAUAUCUCAACUUUCCUGAAGCCUCAAAGAAGACAUACUGCAAUGUCAGUAUUUUGUUCUUUAGAGGGAAUAAAUUGCCCUUUGCAGCCACCUCAGUUGCUCAGGAAUGAGAUGUGCUAAGCAUUCAUAUGAGAAGAUUUUGGAAGAUGGUGCAGGUGUGGGCUGACUUAAAUUACUUGCUUUUGUGCUUUUCUAAAAGGUCAAAAAGGAUCUGGUUUAGGGAAGACAGAGAGAAUAAGACUUUUCAACAUGAGUUAAAAUGCCCAUGUGCCCAGCUUCAGAUGGAGGAAAUAAUACAAACCUGAUAAAGCAUUUAGCUGAUGCAUCCUGAAAAAUGAUAUACCUAUCAGCAUGCAUGUCAUCAAUCAAAAAUUAUUUAAUAUUUGCAUUCAAUUAACCAAAUGACUCCACCAGUUUGACACUUUUCACAAAUCAGCAA